GUGCUCACUUCGGGAGCACAUAUAUUAAAAUUGGAACGAUGCAGAGAAGAUUAGCAUGGCCCUUGAGCAAGGAUGACACGAUAAUUUGUGAAACAUUCUGUAUUUUG
ensembl:snRNA RNU6-1130P RNA, U6 small nuclear 1130, pseudogene